rfam:Ruminococcus albus 7 plasmid pRTMAL01, complete sequence.
GACUGUGUAGCCAAGUGGAAAGGCUGUCGGCUGCAACCCGACGAGCGUAGGUUCGAUCCCUAUCACAGUCU